AGCAGUAGCCGCGGGAAAACGUAGGUGGCAAGCGUUGUCCGGAAUUAUUGGGCGUAAAGCGCGCGCAGGUGGUUUAAUAAGUCUGAUGUGAAAGCCCACGGCUCAACCGUGGAGGGUCAUUGGAAACUGGGAAACUUGAGUGCAGAAGAGGAGAGUGGAAUUCCACGUGUAGCGGCGAAAUGCGUAGAGAUGUGGAGGAACACCAGUGGCGAAGGCGACUCUCUGGUCUGUAACUGACGCUGAGGAGCGAAAGCGUGGGGAGCGAACAGGAUUAGAUACCCCAGUAGUCCCUGUCUCUUAUAC
rnacentral:rRNA from 1 species